AUUGAACGCUGGCGGCAGGCCUAACACAUGCCAGUCGAGCGAGCGGCGGACGGGUGAGUAAUGUAUGGGGACUGCCCGAUAGAGGGGGAUAACUACUGGAAACGGUGGCUAAUACCGCAUACUAUCGGAUAACCCAUAUGGGAUUAGAUAGUAGGUGGGGUAAAGGCUCACCUAGACGACGAGCUCUAGCUGGUCUGAGAGGAUGACCAGCCACACUGGGACUGAGAAACGGCCCAGACUCCUACGGAUGCAGCAGUGGGGAAUAUUGCUCAAUGGGGGCAACCCUGACGCAGCCAUGCCGCGUGGAUGAAGAAGGCCUUAGGGUUUUAAAGGUCUUUCGGCGGCGAGGCGUUACCCGCAGAAGAAGCACCGGCUAACUCCGUGCCAGCAGCCGCGGUAAUUC
rnacentral:rRNA from 1 species